rnacentral:rRNA from 1 species
UACAGAGGGUGCAAGCGUUAAUCGGAAUUACUGGGCGUAAAGCGUGCGUAGACGGUUAUGUAAGUCAGAUGUGAAAGCCCCGGGCUCAACCUGGGAAUUGCAUUUGAGACUGCAUAGCUAGGGUGCGGAAGAGGGAAGCGGAAUUUCCGGUGUGGCGGUGAAAUGCGUAGAUAUCGGAAGGAACACCAGUGGCGAAAGCGGCUUCCUGGUCCAGCACCGACGUUCAGGCACGAAAGCGUGGGGAGCAAACAGG